AGUGAACGCUGGCGGUAGGCCUAACACAUGCAAGUCGAACGGCAGCACAGUAAGAGCUUGCUCUUACGGGUGGCGAGUGGCGGACGGGUGAGGAAUACAUCGGAAUCUACUUUUUCGUGGGGGAUAACGUAGGGAAACUUACGCUAAUACCGCAUACGACCUACGGGUGAAAGCAGGGGAUCUUCGGACCUUGCGCGAUUGAAUGAGCCGAUGUCGGAUUAGCUAGUUGGCGGGGUAAAGGCCCACCAAGGCGACGAUCCGUAGCUAGUCUGAGAGGAUGAUCAGCCACACUGGAACUGAGACACGGUCCAGACUCCUACGGGAGGCAGCAGUGGGGAAUAUUGGACAAUAGGCGCAAGCCUGAUCCAGCCAUACCGCGUGGGUGAAGAAGGCCUUCGGGUUGUAAAGCCCUUUUGUUGGGAAAGAAAAGCAGCAGGUUAAUACCCCGCUGUUCUGACGGUACCCAAAGAAUAAGCACCGGCUAACUUCGUG
rnacentral:rRNA from 1 species